rnacentral:rRNA from 1 species
UACGUAGGGGGCAAGCGUUGUCCGGAAUCAUUUGGGCGUAAAGAGCUCGUAGGCGGUUCCGUAAGUCAGGUGUGAAAAAUCUGGGCUCAACCCAGUGGAGCACCUGAUACUGCGGUGACUCGAGUCCGGUAGGGGAGUGUGGAAUUCCUGGUGUAGCGGUGAAAUGACGCAGAUAUCAGGAGGAACACCGACGGCGAAGGCAGCACUCUGGGCCGGUACUGACGCUGAGGAGCGAAAGCAUGGGGAGCGAACAGG